UCCCUUCUCCUGCCCUCCCGCACCGGCCCGCCGAGGCAGCCGUGCGGAUAUCGCCGGCCCUGGCAGCAGCGCAGCGGCGGAGCCUUCUCAGCGCCAGCUGACGGUCCCCCCGGGAAGUCCUGGGAGGGCAACUUGAGAUGCUCCUAGCGCGAACUCUCCUCUCUGCCCGCCCCGGUCUGCCACUGCCUGGAGGAAGGCAAGCUCGUGCUUUGUCGGGGGUCUCCGAGGAGCAGCUGUAAAACCCCCAAAAAACACUCCGGUGCUGGCCGUCCCAAUCACCACACCCCAAGCGCUGAGCUCUCCCUCCCACCUCGUUGGCUGCCAAAUCCCGUAACAACGCGCAUAACGAUGAGCAAACCGGUGCCAGGACAAAGGCCCGGCUCUCAGGACCUGGAGCUUAGAAGAUGACACGGUGAGACUGAACAUGUGAACUCCCAGUUCAUUUACAUGAGUGCUGUGGCCUCGUAAGACAAAGAGACUUCCCCAGCCAGCCCUGAAAACAGCUGUGAAGCACCAACCUUCCAGAUCUGGUCUGACAUCCUUCCCUGGCGAGCAGUCCUUGCCACGCUAGCCCGAGCCCAUCAGACACACCGGCAGCUACAGAGGUGAGGAAUGACUUCUGUCCUCAGUGACUGAUACAUUGCAAGAUCAAGGGCUGCAGGCAGAUGAAGAGCACAAGAAAUGCUCCAGCUGACCUCACUUUCCAAAACGCAUCAUUCCUUCAAAUAAACGUCACUAAACACCAGCAGGCAGGCGAAUGACAGAAUUAAAACAUAACCCUGCAUUA